CCCUAUUAUUUUUAAACUAAUUAUAAUAUUAAAAUAGUUAUGUUCUUACAAUUAAAAGAAUUUGGCGGUAAGUUAGUCUAGCUAGAGGAAUUUGUGAUUGAAUCGAUAAUACCCGUUAAAUUACACUUGUUUUAUAAGUUUGUAUACCGUCAUUAUCAGAUAAUAUUAAAAGAUUAUUAUUAAAUUUGAUUUUAUCAUAAAAAUUAGAUCAUGGUGCAGCUUAUAAACAAGGAAUCAUGAGUUACAAUAAAAAUAUUUUAUACCAAUUAUUAACUGAAAUGAAAAUAUGAAGGUGGAUUUAGUUGUAUUUUAAUUUUAACAUAAUUUUAAGAUUUAAGAACUAAUUUGUGUACAC
rnacentral:rRNA from 1 species